AAGUGGAAAUCAAGAAGCAUUAUGAGAUACUUCAAGAAGACAUCAAAAACAUUGAGUCAGGCAAAGUUCCCCUACCUGCUUACAGAAGAAGAAAUACUGGAUGCAGCAAUGUAAACAUCAGCAGUGCAAAUUAAGGCUAAGGAACUUGGAGCUCUAUUGAACACCAUUUUCUGAGAAGUUAUUUAACAGUUAGGAGCAUAGACCUUUCUUUUUACUUUUCUGAGGCCAUUACCUUGUAACUUCUUUUUAGCUGUCUGCAAUUAAUUUCUCUAUGUGUACCAUUCGCUAUCGCGCCUUACAUUAAGUAUCGAGAGAUAAAAAGCUCAAAUUCACAUU